ACAACAAGUUCGAGCCCGUUAAUGGGUGAGAGCGUGCCUUUUGUAGAAUGAACCGGCGAGUUACGAUAUGAUGCGAGGUUAAGUUGAAGAGACGGAGCCGUAGGGAAACCGAGUCUUAAUAGGGCGAAUUAGUAUCAUGUCGUAGACCCGAAACCAUGUGACCUACCCAUGAGCAGGGUGAAGGUGAGGUAAAACUCACUGGAGGCCCGAACCAGGGCACGUUGAAAAGUGCUUGGAUGACUUGUGGGUAGCGGAGAAAUUCCAAACGAACUUGGAGAUAGCUGGUUCUCUCCGAAAUAGCUUUAGGGCUAGCGUCGAUGUUAAGUCUCUUGGAGGUAGAGCACUGUUUGAUUGAGGGGUCCAUCCCGGAUUACCAAUAUCAGAUAAACUCCGAAUGCCAACGAGAUAUAAUCGGCAGUCAGACUGCGAGUGCUAAGAUCCGUAGUCGAAAGGGAAACAGCCCAGACCACCAGCUAAGGUCCCAAAAUAUAUGUUAAGUGGAAAAGGAUGUGGGGUUGCACAGACAACUAGGAUGUUAGCUUAGAAGCAGCUAUUCAUUCAAAGAGUGCGUAAUAGCUCACUAGUCGAGUGACCCUGCGCCGAAAAUGUACCGGGGCUAAAACAUAUUACCGAAGCUGUGGAUACCUUUAUAGGUAUGGUAGGAGAGCGUUCUAUGUGCGAAGAAGGUGUACCGUGAGGAGUGCUGGAGCGCAUAGAAGUGAGAAUGCCGGUAUGAGUAGCGAAAGACAGGUGAGAAUCCUGUCCACCGUAAGACUAAGGUUUCCAGGGGAAGGCUCGUCCGCCCUGGGUUAGUCGGGACCUAAGGAGAGACCGAAAGGUGUAUCCGAUGGACAACAGGUUGAUAUUCCUGUACUAGAGUAUAUAGUGAUGGAGGGACGCAGUAGGCUAACUAAACCAGACGAUUGGAAGUGUCUGGCCAAGCAGUGAGGUGUGAUAUGAGUCAAAUGCUUAUAUCUUUAACAUUGAGCUGUGAUGGGGAGCGAAGUUUAGUAGCGAAGUUAGUGAUGUCACACUGCCGAGAAAAGCUUCUAGCGUUAAUUAUACUCUACCCGUACCGCAAACCGACACAGGUAGUCGAGGCGAGUAGCCUCAGGUGAGCGAGAGAACUCUCGUUAAGGAACUCGGCAAAAUGGCCCCGUAACUUCGGGAGAAGGGGCGCUGGCUUUAAGUCAGCCGCAGUGAAUAGGCCCAAGCAACUGUUUAUCAAAAACACAGCUCUCUGCUAAAUCGUAAGAUGAUGUAUAGGGGGUGACGCCUGCCCGGUGCUGGAAGGUUAAGAGGAGCGCUUAGCAUUAGCGAAGGUG
rnacentral:rRNA from 1 species